ensembl:ncRNA lncRNA:CR45114 long non-coding RNA:CR45114
AGGAAAAGUCGCUUGAAUGCAUCUCGCCGAGUCGAGCAUCUCGACAUCUAGCGCAUAUUCAAUUGACUCCGGCCGCCGAGGCAGAGGCACCCAAUCAGUGCUAAACACAUUGGCAUUUCGCUAAAUGAGUGUGGGUACAUAACUCAGGACCCAACAAUGCCGCUUUUUAGGCCCAUCCAACUGCCAAGGCGGUUGCACUAAUUGCGCUAAUAAUGGGGAUUACCUCAGAGCGCAAUCUGAGUCGGCUCGAAAACCCAGCGAAAGGUAACUAACACCGCGCUAAAGAUUUCCAAACCUAGGUAAGAGAUACACUCGCAGAAAUUGGUUUUACCGCAAAUUCACAGAGCAUUGAACUGCAUCAUAUGCAUUUGUGCUGCCAAAUUUCAAGCUAUUGAUUUUCUCCCAGUGCAGCUAAGUAAAGCAAAGAAAAGCAAGUCAAAGCUAAAUAAAAUCGAGUCUAGUCGACGACGCCAACGCACUAAUGGGCGCUUUGUGGUGCCAACUGCUCAUGUGCUCAUGUAGGGGGAUUUCACCCGUGCAGAUGCAGUGCACCCACUUCACGCCGCCUUCUCCGCCACCAGCAGCUCCAACUGCAUGGGAAUGCGCUGGCUGCCUGGCUGGCUGGCUGGCUGGGCUCCUUUGCAUGCGACGGGCGUUUAUUGUAAUUUCAUUAAACG